AGCUUUAGGAAAUAAUCUAAAGUUUUACCUGCCCAAUGUGUAAAUAUAAUGAAUGGCCGCGGUACUUUGACCGUGCUAAGGUAGCGCAAUCAAUUGGCUCUUAAUUGGGGUCAGGAAUGAAUGGAGUUUACGUGGUUCAGCUGUCUUUUAAUUAAUACGUUGAAGUUACUAUAUAAGUGAAAAAGCUUAUUAGUAGAAAAAGGACGAGAAGACCCUUAGAGUUUUUCUUAAUGUGAAUAAUAAAAUAUUGUGAUUCACAAUGGUUUUGUUGGGGCAACAUAGGAGCAGUAAUUAGAUAUAAUCUCCUGAAUUUAACUUACCGAAGUAUUAAAUUUGAAUAAACUACCUUAGGGAUAACAGCAUAAUUUUAAAAAUAAGUUUGUGACCUCGAUGUUGGAUUAGGAAACUUAAAGGCUAGCCGUCUUUAGGGAAAGUUCUGUUCGAACUAUCAUUCCU
rnacentral:rRNA from 1 species